GAUGACAGUGAGGAUUGGGAUGAUAGAUGUUUGUCGCCUCUGCCACACGAUGUCAUAAACGUUUAACCAAUUCGAUCCCGCCGCCGCGUUAUUGAAUUUUGAGGGUUAAAAGAAAGAAGAAUAGAAGAAGAUCUCUGGAGACAUUUCUGCAAACAAUGGAAAUCAUACUAAUGGAGCGCGAUGUUCCGUUUUCUGCUAUUCCAGAAGUGGGACAUUCUAUAAGCCGUCUUGUAGUGGGACAAGGAAAAGAAGCUCUCGUGAACCUUUACAACACUCUCGUGAACAAACCAGAUUCAGAUAGAUUUAGCAUUGGAAAUAAGCAGCUUUAGAGACAGUGGUCAGAAUUGUACGUAGAGGAGCAAGAAUUUCAGCAUUGAUGAAUUAUGAAGAAAAUGGGGGUGGGGGAAAGAAAAAACUGUUGCGCUGUCGCAAUUAGCAAAGCAUCUAAAGCUGCUGCCGGCCAGCCACUACUGUCAUUUGAGGUAUAUUUUGUUUGUUUCUCCUUCAUUCAUAGUGUUAAUUACAAAUUAGGAUCUGUUUGGUUGUUUGUCAGCAUCUGCUGGCUGGCUGGCUGUUUGCUUGCAUAUUUGCUUAAAUUUCUCAAAGUCACAACAGAACAAGAAAUUGAUCAUGAACAAGGACUUCACGGACCAGAAUGGGUUCCUCCGUAUUUAUUAGCCCGGCCGGCCGGUAAAAAAAAAAGAAGAAUAGCUAGCUUUAAUUUCAUAUACCCUACCCUACACUUCACCACAUUAUUAAGAUUAUUUUGGACUAGACCAUGAUAAGGUCAGGUCCCUUUUUGUCUCUGCUGCAUGAAAACUCCUCUCUCUUGACCCACAGGGAUAUGGGUCAGUACUCCUUUAAAUUUCAAGAAUAUAUAUGAUCCCAAAUCUAGGGCUGGUGUUACAUCUUAUCAUUAAACUAAAAUAAUGACAAAAUCACAAUGACCCGUGUGUGUACUUACGUGUACCCAAAUGCAUUAUUGGUUAUAUGUAUGUGCAAUUAUUUUUUCUCAUUUAAUGUUCUUAUCAUAAAUAUUGUUAUUAAUAAGCAAACAUACUAUUAAUUGAUUUAUUCUUCUCAAAACACACACAAAAUUACAUAGUAUAAAUCUCCCAUCUUUCAUCCUAAAUUUACUUGGCUUCGAUGGGAGAUAUCUUUAAUUGUUAUAAAAUCAUAUAUAAGUAACUUUUUUUUUCUUGUCUGUAUAAUAUAUAUGGCCAACUUCUCAAUCAGCUAGCUCUAUGUAAACUGUCAUUACUAGUUACUAUAAGCAGACCGAAAGACACAUCAAAGUUCGGUAUGCAAGAAAUCCUCCCCAGCGGUUGGUUUCAGUACAAGCUCCACAUCUUCAUCUCCCACGUAAGCCUUGUCCGAAGAAGUUAUGCAUUCGGCCGAAGGCUGCACAUAUCCAUAAUUAAACCCUGUAACAGAGUUACAAUAUGUCUCCGCAACUCCAUCUUUGCUCUGCAGGUUAAUAUUAUUCAACACUAUAUGCUCGCACGGGACUGUAUCACUGCACGCAAAAUUCAUUGCUCUCUCCGUCUUCGAUGUCCCACUAAUAUUCCUAUACAGUAUUUGACUUAUCUCCACUGCAGAUGUCUGCAAAUUAACAAGUUUUCAUUUGCUUAUAUACUAUGUAAUUUUUUUGUCUUAUUAAGGUUUCUGUUUUUUUGGUA